UACGAAGGGGGCUAGCGUUGCUCGGAAUUACUGGGCGUAAAGGGCGCGUAGGCGGACAGUUUAGUCAGAGGUGAAAGCCCAGGGCUCAACCUUGGAAUAGCCUUUGAUACUGGCUGUCUUGAGUACGGGAGAGGUGAGUGGAACUCCGAGUGUAGAGGUGAAAUUCGUAGAUAUUCGGAAGAACACCAGUGGCGAAGGCGACUCACUGGCCCGUUACUGACGCUGAGGCGCGAAAGCGUGGGGAGCAAACAGG
rnacentral:rRNA from 1 species